GGGGGUGCACCGGUUUCGACUGGUACGGCUCGGGGUGCGGGUUGCAGGUGGAGGCGGACUAGUUCCGGGCCAACUCCUAAAAUAGGCCAAAAAAUUUGAUUGCCAAUAAUGACAAUUACAACGACUACGCUUUAGCUGCGUAAUCGCGUGGCACCGCUCCGCCGCCUUGAGGGACGGUUUGCCGCGAUGCAAUCAGGGCUGGUCAAAUAAGGUUUCCGGGCCUUAUGCGAUAAGAUAUUCCCGGAAUACGGGCACUCCGCCUGCCGCGAAGCAAAGAGUGUCCCGACAAUUUAAUGCGUGGCUAAACCUGUAGAUAUUCGUAUUUCGCGUAUUAGGACGCGGGUUCGACUCCCGCCAUCUCCAUGG
rnacentral:tmRNA from 1 species